rnacentral:lncRNA from 1 species
AGACAAAUUAAUUCAAGACUCUCCAAUUAGACAUUUUAAAAUUAAUUGCAUUGUAAUUUAGUUGUUUAAACUUUUUUGUUGACAAACUUUUGCACAAUGGGCCAUUGUUGGCAAAGUUAUGAUGGGCCCAACUAGUAGACACUUGUCACCGUAGGGUUUCCUUUUAUUUUAGGGUGGACCCCACCUAUUUUUAGGACACAUGAUCCUAGGGAAGCUACAGUCGCCACACACUUUUAUUUUAGGGACUAAGCUUGGAACAUUUUUUCCUCGGCACGUUGUUUUUGCUGGAACAUGUAUAUCUUCGGUGAUUAUGGUUGAAUGUGAGGAAGCAUGGUGGUUUAAUUUCUUUUCUUUGCUUU